AUUGAACGCUGGCGGCAGGCUUAACACAUGCAAGUCGAGCGGAUGAAGGGAGCUUGUUCCUGGUUCCAGCGGCGGAAGGGUGUGUAAUGCAUAGGAAUCAGCUUCGCAGUGGGGGAUAAUGUCUGGAAACGGGUGCUAAUAAUGCCUACGUCGUGCGGGAGCAAGUGGGGGAUCUUCGGACAUCAUGCUCUCAGAUGAGUCUAGGUCGGACUAGCUAGUUGGUGGGGUAGAGGCCUACCAAGGCGACGAUCCGUAACUGGACUGAUUGGAUGAUCAGUCACACUAGAACGUGAACGCGGACCAGGCGCCUGCGGGAGGCAGCAGUGGGGAAUAUUGGACAGUAGGCGAGAGCCUGGUCCAGCCAGGCCACGUGUGUGGAAGAGAUCUUCGGAGUGUAAAGCACUUUAAGUUGUGGGAAAGGGCAGUAAGUUGAUACCUAGCUGUAUUGACGUUACCAGCAAAAUAAGCACCGGCUAACUUCGUG
rnacentral:rRNA from 1 species